GGUUCCGUGGUGUAGUGGUUAACAUGCCUGCCUGUCACGCAGGAGAUCGCGGGUUCGAUCCCCGUCGGAACCGCCA
rnacentral:tRNA from 1 species